GCGCGAGUGGCGGAACUGGUAGACGCGCCAGAUUUAGGUUCUGGUGCCUUCGGGCGUGAGGGUUCGAGUCCCUUCUUGCGCACCA
rnacentral:tRNA from 1 species